UAGAGGAUCUAAUUUUUGGCCUA
rnacentral:siRNA from 1 species